GGCAAUUAUGGUCUGUCAUUAAAUAUAUCUCUAUCGUCUACCGAAAGUGGAAUUAUAUUGUAGCUCAAAGCAUACUAAAGUUAUAAAUCGGGGUUUAAUAAAAUGAACGCGUCGAUAGAUAAAUGAUAAGUGUGUGAGUGACCACUAUUGUCUUUUAUAAAAAUCCAUUCAAUAGCUGCCUUUAUUUCAUUGCGGGAUGUGUUUUGGAACAAUAAAAUGCACGGAUUUUUCAAAUUGACAGCUGUGACACCUGUCAAAGUUUGAUUUGACAUAUUGACAAAUGUCACAUACACCCGAAAAACAUAGAAGUCAAAGAUGAAAGUAAGUUGUGUGUUGUAAAAACUAAAGGAAUUCCACCAAAAAUGGUAAGUUUAAUGAAAUAACAAUACUUAGUAUAUUAAUGGUAAUAUUUGGGUUCUUGUAGUUUGUUACAUUAUUAAUUGCUUUUGUUAUAUUUUUCAGUUGAUGCAAGACGGACAAGCAGGCAGGAGAAUGAUAGUGAAAUAUUUAAGAGGAUUCGUAUCCGGGAGCACAAACGUUUACGAUAAUAUCGUUAUCUCUAUCGCUCUUCAAUAUUGGCGCGACAGAGCCAGACUGUGUUUGAAUCGGCGUCUAGCGACGGCGAAUUUCCUCUGAGCAAUUCAGUCAGGGUAUGCUGCAAACAUACCAAGGAGCCAACAAGGAAUGUUGCCUAGGCUUGCCGCGAGAGAUGUGAAAUGCCAUGACACAAACAGAUUUUAAGUGGGCAUGAUAUAUACUCAACAACAGCGGGCACUACAAAGCUCUGGCAUAGAGUACCUAGAGCAUGGAAUGAGGCUACCAUUGCAUAGUUAAUUAUGAUGUGGCUUCUUCUUGUCAUACUUUCUACAGCUGCAGAAAAAGAAAAACAAUGUGACAGUGAACCAUACUUCGGCCAGUGAGGUGUAAUUGAACUAAAUGCCAUAAAACCAACUUGUUUGAUAUAGUUUGAAAUAGGUCCAGAAAAGUUAUAAGUUCAUGGUAUAUUAGAAAACACUCAAGAUGUCGAGGAAACACAAGAAGUUGAUGUCGAAAGAAAGGUUACUUGUUAGAUUAGUUUGUUUGUUUUUGCACUUCUUCGUUACUUUAUAUAAACUGUAUUAAGUUGUGACAAUAAAGAUUAUUAAUUCAAUAUUUUUAUACGACAUACAUAAAAAAUAUGGAAAUAUAUGGAGAAUGGCUCUAAUUUCCAGUUAUCUGAACUUGUGAAAGUUUUAACAGUGCAGAACUUAAUUUUAAUGACCGAAGAGCUGGCGACUUCCUCACACAACUUAUCAGCAUUGCGGUACAGCGAGGGAUAGAAUGCCUUA